GAUUUAAAAAAUGAAAGAACCUGAGAUUAAGAGUGUUACCGGAAAAACAAUCGUUGUAGGCAUUUUUGGUUUCAUAUUAAAGGAUGAGAUGGUGGUGUGCCGAUUUGAUACGGAGGAAGGUUACCAGCUUUGUUGUUGUGCGUGAGUUGUUGUUUUGAGAGAGAUGGAGGAUGAAAAAAAGAAAAGAAGAGAGAGAAUCUUGUAUAUGCAAUGGAAGAAAGAAAGGAGGAGUCACAAAGAUAAAGAUUGUAUUGAAGUUUUUGAAUUUGAAAUUUGAAAACAUGCUUUUGGUUUUUUCACCAAAAUGGGUUAGUGAAGAAGGAAAAAGAAAAGAGACAGAGAAAGCAACGUGGGAAGAGAAAUGAAAGUGACAC
rnacentral:lncRNA from 1 species